CCAGGGGCAAGUAGAAGGUCAUACACAGGAGGAGGCAGGUAGCUGGGUCCAGGGGCAGGCAGAAGUUCAUACACAGGAGGAGGCAGGUAGCUGGGUCCAGGGGCAGGCAGAAGUUCAUACACAGGAGGAGGCAGGUAGCUGGGUCCAGGGGCAGGCAGAAGUUCAUACACAGGAGGAGGCAGGUAGCUGGGUCCAGGGGCAUGCAGAAGGUCAUACACAGGAGGAGGCAGGUAGCUGGGUCCAGGGGCAGGCAGAAGGUCAUACACAGGAGGAAGCAGGUAGCUGGGUUCAGGGGCAGGUAGAAGGUCAUACACAGGAGGAGGCAGGUAGCUGGGUCCAGGGGCAGGCAGAAGGUCAUACACAGGAGGAGGCAGGUAGCUGGGUCCAGGGGCAGGCAGAAGGUCAUACACAGGAGGAGGCAGGUAGCUGGGUCCAGGGGCAGGCAGAAGGUCAUACACAGGAGGAGGUAGGUAGCUGGGUCCAGGGGCAGGCAGAAGGUCAUACACAGGAGGAAGCAGGUAGCUGGGUUCAGGGGCA
rnacentral:lncRNA from 1 species